CCGUGCCCGGCGGGCGGUUGGAGGGACCCCCUGUAACCAGGCGAGUGUCCCGUGGGGUCCCCACCCUUUCACAGGCGUGGGGCUGGGCGUGUGCCCUCCCUGUCCUCGGGGGAAGGCCGAGCUCCGUGGCUCCCUGGGUGUGAACCCGCCUGUAAGCAGGGUCCGGGUCUGGGAGCCUUUGUGCUCCCUCAGCUGGCAGCCUGUGCGGGGCGACCGCCCCCGUUAGCGGGGAGCGGGUCAGAUGCCCCCGAAGCGGAGAGAAGGAGCCUCCGCGGGCCUUUGGGCCCAGGGCUGCCCUGUAAGUCGGGGCCAGUGCCCUGGAGUCCCGGGCACUUUGCGCUCCAGGCAGCGGCCGGAGCCCCCUGUAAGCAGGGGUGCAGCCUCUUUGGCCACUGCUUUGCAUGCCCAGCUGCCUUUGCCCAGAGGGCCCGGCUCCCAGCAGCGGAUGGGACUGCGUCGCUCUGAAGCCGUCGGAGAAGAAAGAAGACACAGGAGUGAACUUCGAGGCAAGAGCGAAGAAGAGGAGCAGCAGCGUCGAGCUCAAGAGGGGGCACGACAGGGACCCUCUGGGCAAAUGCACCUCCCUGGCCCCCCCCGGGCAGGGAUCCGUAAGAGUCCAGCGGGCACCUUCAGGCUGCCCCGGCUGGCUUUGCGCUGGGCGACCUCCCUGUAAGCAGGGCUGGGUCUUUGA